GUUUAACGGCCGCGGUAUUUUGACCGUGCAAAGGUAGCGCAAUCACUUGUCUUUUAAAUGAAGACCCGUAUGAAUGGCACAACGAGGGCUUAACUGUCUCCUUUUUCCCGUCAAUGAAAUUGAUCUCCCCGUGCAGAAGCGGGGAUACACCCAUAAGACGAGAAGACCCUAUGGAGCUUCAGGCUUCUGAACAGACUAUGUUAAGCCCCUAACACAAAAGACAAAACUAAUUAGACCCCGUUCAAAUGCCUUUGGUUGGGGCGACCGCGGGGAAAUAAAAAACCCCCAUGUGGACUAAGAACACAACUCCUCUUAAAGCCAAGAACUACCGCUCUAAGCAACAGAACUUCUGACCAAAAAUGAUCCGGCAAAGCCGAUCAACGGACCGAGUUACCCUAGGGAU
rnacentral:rRNA from 2 species